CUUUACUGAGUGUCGUGGCGGGCCGACACGUUUACUUUGAACAAAUUAGAGUGCUAAAAGCAGGCCUCACGCCUGAAUAUUGUGUGCAUGGAAUAAUAGAAUAGGACCUCGGUUCUAUUUUGUUGGUUUUCUGAACCAGAGGUAAUGAUUAAGAGGAACGGACGGGGGCAUUCGUAUUGAGACGUUAGAGGUGAAAUUCUUGGAUCGUCUCAAGACGGACAGAAGCGAAAGCAUUUGCCAAGAACGUUUUCAUUAAUCAAGAACGAAAGUUAGAGGUUCGAAGGCGAUCAGAUACCGCCCUAGUUCUAACCAUAAACGAUGCCAGCCAGCGAUCCGCCAAAGUUCCUCCGAUGACUUGGCGGGCAGCUUCCGGGAAACCAAAGCUUUUGGGUUCCGGGGGAAGUAUGGUUGCAAAGCUGAAACUUAAAGGAAUUGACGGAAGGGCACCACCAGGAGUGGAGCCUGCGGCUUAAUUUGACUCAACACGGGAAACCUCACCAGGUCCGGACACCGGAAGGAUUGACAGAUUGAGAGCUCUUUCUUGAUUCGGUGGGUGGUGGUGCAUGGCCGUUCUUAGUUGGUGGAACGAUUUGUCUGGUUAAUUCCGAUAACGAACGAGACUCUAGCCUGCUAACUAGCCGUUUCCGGCAUCAUAUGCUGCCGGCGGCAUAAAACUCUUCUUAGAGGGACAGGCGGCUUCUAGCCGCACGAGAUUGAGCAAUAACAGGUCUGUGAUGCCCUUAGAUGUCCUGGGCCGCACGCGCGCUACAAUGAAGGUAUCAACGUGUCCUCCCAGGCCGAACGGUCCGGGUAACCCGUUAAACCACCUUCGUGCUAGGGAUUGGGGCUUGCAAUUGCUCCCCAUGAACGAGGAAUUCCCAGUAAGCGCGAGUCAUAAGCUCGCGUUGAUUACGUCCCUGCCCUUUGUACACACCGCCCGUCGCUACUACCGAUUGAAUGAUUUAGUGAGGUCUUCGGACUGGUGCGCGAUAGCAUUAUCAUUAAUGCUGCCGAUGUUACUGGAAAGAUGACCAAACUUGAUUAUUUAGAGGAAGUAAAAGUCGUAAC
rnacentral:rRNA from 1 species